rnacentral:lncRNA from 1 species
CCUGCCGUCUAGCCUGUAAUAGCGUAGACCGAGUAUCGAUACGACUAGAUAAAAGAAAGGAAUAAAGACGGGGAAAAACUAAACUCAACAUCAAGCGGAAGCAAAUAACAAAUCAUGUUAAUUCUAGCAACAUAAUAACCCUUCAAAACAUAAGCAUCAAAAACUUUAUAAAAGUCAAAGUAUCAAGAUUCUCGUCAACGUUUACAAAGGAGGCAUAGCUCAAUAUUUACAAAGAUUCAUAUUAUGCAGAGUAUCGCAGCAAAAGGUGAACAUACUAUAUGUAUGAAGACAUAUAGCUGAGAGUAUAUCACUUUAUUAAGUCUAAAACAAACUCCAAAAUCAUAAUGUUACCAUAUGAAAUGAAAAUACGGUAGAUAGUAAACAUCCGAAACAACAACCCCGCCAGCACCAGGCCAUCCU